rnacentral:rRNA from 1 species
CCUACGGGUGGCAGCAGUGGGGAAUCUUGCACAAUGGGGGAAACCCUGAUGCAGCGACGCCGCGUGAGUGAAGAAGUAUUUCGGUAUGUAAAGCUCUAUCAGUAGGGAAGCAGAAAGACGGUAUCUGACUACGAAGCGCCGGCUAACUACGCGCCAGCAGCCGCGGUAAUACGUAGGGGGCAAGCGUUAUCCGGAUUUACUGGGUGUAAAGGGAGCGUAGACGGCUGUGCAAGUCUGAAGUGAAAGCCCAGGGCUCAACCCUGGGACUGCUUUGGACACUGUGGUGCUAGAGUGCUGGAGAGGUAAGUGGAAUUCCUGGUGUAGCAGUGAAAUGCGUAGAUAUUAGGAGGAACACCAGUGGCGAAGGCGGCUUACUGGACAGUAACUGACGUUGAGGCUCGAAGGCGUGGGGAGCAAACAGGAUUAGAUACCCCGGUAGUC